rnacentral:SRP_RNA from 1 species
GCUGGGUGUGGUGGCACGCGCCUGUAGUCCCAGUUACUUGGGAGGCUGAGGCAGGAGAAUCACUUGAACCUGGGAGGCGGAGGUUGCUGUGAGCCAAGAUUGCACCACUGCAUUCCAGCCUGGUGACGGUGUGAGACUCCAUAUCAAAAAAAAAAAAGACAGGGUCUCACUCUUGUCACCCAGGCUGGAGUGCAAUGACGCGAUCUCGGCUCACUGCAACCUCCACCUCCCGGGUUCAAGCGAUUGUCCUGCCUCAG